rnacentral:rRNA from 1 species
UACAGAGGCCUCAAGCGUUAGGCGGAAUCACUGGGCUUAAAGCGCGUGUAGGUGGACUUUUAAGUGCUUUGUGAAAUCCCACGGCUCAACCGUGGAACUGCUGGGCAUACUGGAAGUCUUGGGCUAUCUAGGGGCAACCGAAACAAGCGGUGGAGCGGUGAAAUGCGUAGAUAUCGCUUGGAACGCCAAAGGUGAAGACAGGUUGCUGGAGAUAUGCCGACACUGAGACGCGAAAGCCAGGGGAGCAAACGGGG